CCUACGGGAGACAGCAGUGAGGAAUAUUGGUCAAUGGCCGUAAGGCUGAACCAGCCAAGUCGCGUGAAGGAAGAAGGAUCUAUGGUUUGUAAACUUCUUUUAUAGGGGAAUAAAGGUAUCCACGUGUGGAUAUUUGCAUGUACCCUAUGAAUAAGGAUCGGCUAACUCCGUGCCAGCAGCCGCGGUAAUACGGAGGAUCCGAGCGUUAUCCGGAUUUAUUGGGUUUAAAGGGAGAGUAGAUGGGUUGUUAAGUCGGUUGUGAAAGUUUGGGGCUCAACCGUAAAAUUGCAGUGGAUACUGGCAGUCUUGAGUACAGGUGAGGUAUGCGGAAUUCGUGGUGUAGCGGUGAAAUGCUUAGAUAUCACGAAGAACCCCGAUUGCGAAGGCAGCUUACUAAACUGUGACUGACAUUGAUGCUCGAAGGUGUGGGUAUCAAACAGGAUUAGAUACCCCGGUAGUC
rnacentral:rRNA from 1 species